GGGGAAUAUUGCACAAUGGGCGCAAGCCUGAUGCAGCAACGCCGCGUGAAUGAUGAAGGCCUUCGGGUCGUAAAGUUCUGUCCUAUGGGAAGAAGAAGUGACGGUACCAUAGGAGGAAGCCCCGGCUAACUACGUGCCAGCAGCCGCGGUAAUACGUAGGGGGCAAGCGUUAUCCGGAAUCAUUGGGCGUAAAGGGUGCGUAGGCGGCUGAGCAAGCCAGAGGUAAAAGGCAAUAGCUUAACUAUUGUAAGCCUUUGGAACUGCUUAGCUUGAGUGCAGGAGAGGAAAGUGGAAUUCCUAGUGUAGCGGUGAAAUGCGUAGAUAUUAGGAGGAACACCAGUGGCGAAGGCGACUUUCUGGACUGUAACUGACGCUGAGGCACGAAAGCGUGGGGAGCGAAC
rnacentral:rRNA from 1 species